rnacentral:tRNA from 1 species
UAGAGUAUGGUGUAAUUUGGUAGCACUAAGAAUUUUGAUUUCUUAAGAGUAGGUUCAAUUCCUAUGACUCUAG